NNNNNNNNNNNNNNNNNNNNNNNNCCACUGUGUCAAUGGGUGUAACCACAUCAGGCCCCGCCCCAUCCAUCAGGAAACCCCUCCCCAUCGUGGACCCCAGUCCCGCCCCUUUGCUCUGGGGCCCGGCCCCCAGCGGCACACCCGCUCCAGGGUCCCAGUGCCCCGGAGGUCGGGACGGCUCUGGCCAGAGCGGGGCUGUCUCGGCUUCCCCACCCCGCCACAAAAGGGCCAGCUCUAGACACCCGAUCCGGCCCCGCACUGCCACCAAGUGCCCCCCAUCUCCACUAGGAGAUGAGAGCAGUGAAUCUUCUUAUUCAGAUUCCGAGUAUGAAGACCACUGGGCUGAGGUGCAGAGGGAAGCCACACGAGCAGGGAACUCAGCUCUGUCCCAGAAAAUACUUGCCUUUCCUGUAAGAAUGAGGAGAGACAAGGCAGGGGCACAAGUUGCGGCAUGGGAAUCCCUCCACUAUAGGGAACUGCAGGAACUUUGUAAAGCUGCCGAGGAACAUGGCAGGGGUUCACAUUUUUUUAAACACUUGCUGGAAGCCUCCUCCUCUGCCCACGUCAUGGUCCCGCAUGACAUCAAGAAUAUUAUGAACUACCUCCUCUCCCCAGCAAAGUACAUGUUAUGGAAGAGGCAGUGGAAAAAACAUUUAAGGCAAUUGGCAGAUGUUUAUGCUGAAGAUACGAACAGACCUAAUUUUACUUUAGAGCAAUUAGCAGGAGAAGGAGAUUUCCAAAAGCCCCGAGAACAAGCCUGGGAUCUGCCUGAAGCAGCUUUACAGGAUAUAACUAAUGCUGCCAAGAUAUCUCUUUUUGCCACCCCUGAUGAUAAAGUGCCAACGCAGUGCUUCACCAAUAUUAAGCAAGGGGAAACUGAGUCUUUUAUUAAGUAUAUUGAUAAGUUAAAAGUGGCCAUUGAAAAGCAGAUAGAGAGCCCUCAGGUGCAAAAAGAAUUAUUAGUAAAAAUAGCAAUGGCCAAUGCUAAUCUGGAGUGCAAAGCAGUUUUGUGAGCCCUCCCACUGGACCCCAAACCAACCAUAGAUCAGAUGGUUGAAGCCUGCACCAAACUCUCCUCUGCCUCAAGUGAGAAUAUAGUGGCACUUGCAGUGGCUAAAGGAGUGGCAGAGGAGAUAUCUGGAGCUUAUACUGCAGACCCCAAUACAAAUUGUUGUUUUAAUUGUGGCAAGCCUGGACAUUUUUUCAAAGACUGUCCAGAGAGACAUUCUAUACAACCGCCAGCCCGCCAAUGGUUACCCAGACAAAACUGGUGUUCAGGAAACUUCAAGCAGAGCACGGAACGGCCCCGCGCUUCGACAUCAAAUCAAAUGCUGCACCACUCCACCCCUCCUGCCAAACCCACCAUCCUGCCUCCACAGGGACCCCGAUAUCAAGCCCAGCAGGUGGAGCGCUUCAGAUGGGAACCCGGCGUCAACUGGUAACUAGACUCUCUUUACAU
rnacentral:lncRNA from 1 species